GGAUCAGUGGUGAAGUCGGUAACACGCGUUUUUCGGGUGAACGAGAUCCCGGGUUCGAAUCCCGGCUGGUCCC
rnacentral:tRNA from 1 species